CAUUAGCCUUUUAUUUUUAACUUAGUUUUACAAUAAACAGAAAAGAAGUUGAUCAUUAAAAAAAUACCAGAGCUGUCGAUUUAAAAUGUAAAAUGAGAUUCUUGUUAAACAAAGCAGGGACACAUUACCCUAUAAUUACAUCUUUACUUUUAUAUACAAGAACUGUAUGCAAAGUGCUUUUCAAACUAUAAAAUCAGACUUUGGAACAGGAUACAAAUGGUUAUCCCUAGGGGCUAGUUACCCGACUGCUUGUAAUGAUUCAAAACGGCUUACAUCUUAAUUUGCAUUUUAUUUAAUUAUAUACUAAGAGAAAAGCCAUCAUUUUCUGAUACCAGACUGAUACCUAAUUUUUGAAAAUAAUCCCUGAUCCACAGGUCUAACCUUUAUUUUUACAUAUAAUUCAGUUGCUUGCUUUACUUUUUCCAUAAACAAAUAUGGGACAAUUUUUUAAAAGCAAAUAUUAGUAGAUCCCUUUAAACAGACACAUUUUAAUCAAGAUGGGAUUAAAAAAAAAAACAAAGUUACAUGAAAAAAAGGACAAAAAGUUUGGGAAAAGCAAAUUAUAUUCUUAUAUUUUUUUAUUUCGGCAAGCAAAGAACCACCCGUACAACAGAGACAGAUUCUUUCCCUCUUAUUUAAAACACUCUGGAGUCACAGUUGGAGGCCUGAACAAGCUGUCAGCAGGAGAGGUGUUGUGGCCGAGCCAGCAGUCAGGUCUAGAGGUCCAGCACAGAGUGGCUGGCACAGGUGGCCAGCACAGGCAUUUCCAGCAAAUUCGCAAGAAUUUUGCAUAGCACUUCUUUGGAAGCGGUUUUCUUGGUGUCCUUUUUGAAUAAAGGCGGUAGCUGCGCUUGGGAGUCGGGGCGUUUCACAGUACUAUAAGAUCGAUAUUCAAGACAUGGUUUUCACCCCACUUCAUCAACACACAUACAGUUUCUGUUUUUUUGGACCCCUGUUUUAUGCCAUGAUACACCAAGCUUUGGAUCGUAUAGACUAUGUGAUUGAAAGUGCCAGACAAAGACCUUUUAAAAGGAGAUACUUAUCAAAUGGGAGAAAAUCUGUAUCUCAAAAAAUUUUAUGACUUGUAUAUUGAAGAAUGCGAAAAAUAUGAACUUGUGAGAGAAGCUUGUUAUGCAGGAGACUUUGUCAUGUUUAGUGGUCAACCUAUACCCAGAAAAUGAGGAAUAUUCUCUGAUGUUCAGGGGAAAAAAUGGAUCAGAGUCUGAGACCAUUCAACUAUCUUGUGAAGAAGGGGAAUUGCUAAUGCUCGGAUGCAGAAUUACCUCCUAUUUUGUCUGAUCUCCUAGAAAAAUCUCAGGUUAAUAUUUUUAUUGUGGACUGUCAUAGCAGAAAUAUGUGACUACAGGCAGUCCAGUAAUAUGAAAUCUCCUGGUAACCAAAGGAGGCACAUUCUCUUACAUCCAACGAUACAGAUUUUAAUUGUAAUCUGUGAUGUACUUUCACUAACAAGUGAUAACCAUAAAUGGACCCAGGAAGACAAACUAUUACUUGAAAGCUAACUGAUCUUAGUACAGCUGAGCCACUGUGUCCUGAUCAGACCUGCACUGCAAACAGACUGCUGUAUAACAAGCAAAUGAUGAACACUAGCCCAAUGAAAUGGUGUUUCAAGAGGUAUUCUAGGUCCUCAUUGUCCACCUCCUCAGCUGAGAUUACUUGAUUUCUGACCAAAAAAAAAAAGGAAAGGAAAGCAAGUCAGUAUUAUGACUUCAAAAUUUCUAAAGCAGGAAAUUGUGUAGAUAUGUGGAAUGGAGUCCCUAAUUUGGCCAUACCUUCUGAAGUGGAUGUGGAGAAAGAUGCCUACUAUGCUAACGUGGAAACAUCCAUCAAAUCUGAUGACUUACAACCAACAGUCUUGGCAGUUCAUGAUGUAAAAGAUGAUUAUACAUUUCAAUGUGAAACUGGUACUCAGUGUCAGAAAACAAAGCUGGCCAUCUUGCAGUCACUUGAUGAUCCACUUUACUAUGGUAAAAUACAGCCAUGUAAAGCAGAUGAAGAAAGUGACAGCCAGAUAUCUCCAUCACACUUCUCCACAGAUGAUCAUUCAAAUUGGCUCAUUAUUGGAUUAAAGACUGAUGCUGUGGGGGUAGCCAAUCAGUACCAGGAAUUGGUCCAGAAUGAAGCUAAAUGUCCAGUUGUCACACAGCUCAGUGACUCGGCCAGUCUGUCCAUUCCAGGGAGGCAAACAGAAUGGACGGAGACUGUGUCAGUUCACUCUUCAGUAUUGGGGAAGGGAGUAAAACAGUGACCUCCACCCAUCAAACUUCCCUUGAGCUCAGGAAAUAGUUCCUCAGGUAAAUAUUUUACAUCACAGCAGGCAAGCAGCUUCCUUAAAUCUCCAACUCCUCCUCCUCCUUCUAAGCCACCAAGUCCCUCUCAGAAAGUCUAUAGAUCGCAAUCAAGUUAGCAUGCUUUCUCCAGCUGCUCUGUCACCUGCCAGCUCAUCACAAGAUCUGGAACUCCUAAGCCAUCAACUCCUACACCAACCCCUUCAUCAAACCCACACCCUCCAGAUGCUCAGAGCUCAACUUCUAGUACCCCUUCAGCCACCCCUACUCCCCAAGAUUCAGGCUCACCCCUCAGCCCACUUUGUUAACUCAGCAGCAAAGGUCUCUGAGCCAGGCAAUUCCUGUGACGACCAUUCCUCUUUCCACCAUGGUAAUAUCUAUAACUACAGGAAACAUGGUCCCCCAGGUCUUGGCAGACUCUACUGGACUUCAUCAAUAUAGUGGGCUCUGUUUGUGGGACGCUGGCUUUGAUGAGUGGUUCAGACCCCAUGCUGAGCUGUUACAUUGGUGACUAACUCUUGCAGGAGUAGACCUGAAUGGCCCACUCCCCUCAGGAGGUCUGUUACCAAAUACAUUGCCCAGUGCAAUGCCGGCAGCUUCUCCAGCAGGUGUCCCAUUUAGUUUAAAAAUACUUCAAGUAUCUUGCCUUUACAUCUACUCCAGCUUCCGGGUGGUUCACUCAUUUUUAACACCCUGCAGCAGCAGCAACAGCAGCUCUCUCCAUUUAUGCCACAGCAACCUAGUAGCCCACGACUUAUAGUCCUCAACAGCCAGGGGAAGUUUCCGAGCAAAAUUCAACCAGUCGAGAACAGGCCGUAUCUGCUCAGCAGGCUGCUGUUAUUAACCAUACUGGAGUAGGAAGUUGUAUGCAGUCACAGGCAGCUGUAGCUGCAAUUCCUGCAGCAUCAAAUGGCUACGGCGGCAGCGGCAGCAGCACCAACAGCUCAGCUACAUCAUCAUCAGCAUACAGGCAGCCUGUCAAAAGUAAAAUGCAGACAGGCACACCAAGCACUCCAAAAUGCUGAC